rnacentral:lncRNA from 10 species
GUUGUUUCUGGAACUUAUUUACUCAUUCACUCCAUCAGUGCCUUCAGUGGGCAGCCACCAGGAACACACCUGAAGCCAAACAGAAUUGGAUUUAUUGACUUACAGUGAGGGAGAAUGAACACCAUGGAGAAACACGGCAGAGGAAAGAAAUGCUGUAGAGUGGACUUAACAGACUCUGUUGGGUACAAGUGACACAGAAAGUCAUCUCAAACUAGCUGAAACACAAAAGCGCAGGAAGGCGGAAGGGAAGGCGGAGACCGGCAAGAGAGGGGAGAAGGCCCGGGGAAGACGCUCGGGACCAAGAUGCGGGGCCCGGGUGCGAGCAGCUGAACCUCUCGGCCCCCAGGCGUGGUGACCUGGGUGGCGACGCUCGUGGAGGCCGAGGAGCUUCUGGACCGGCGCUUCGGGGGACCAAGUGGAGAGGCUGCUGGAGUUGUCGCCUGAGUCCUCCCUUAGUUCUUCGCGCCGGCCUCGCCCACGGCUCCGGGUCCCAGCCGCCACUGCAGUCUCCGCAGCACCGAGCGGGGCUCCACCGACUCGCGACCUCCAGCCUCCGCCUCAAGGGCAGGGAGCGCGGCUGGGUCUCUGGAAAGCCAUUUUUAAAUCACUGCCUCUGCUGCCCCCAUGUGAGGUCGGAGUGUCCUCCCCCGUCUUUGCUUUCAGGUUCUUUCAGGUUCCUUUGGGCAAACCCGCAGCUAAGAGUCCAGCUUGUGAACUUGAACCUGAACUUGCUGAAGAAGCUCCCGGCGGCCCCCUGCUGUCUGCGGCCUUUGUUUGAGGGAGAGGCUGGGGUCACCCGGUUGGGCCGCAUUUCCGGGGCCGUCACCUGUCGGGCUGCCAGGCCGCGCGUACCUUGUCCCAUCGGGGGCUCUGCUCUGCCCCCUGCGCUGAUGACGCGGGUGGAAGGGAGGUAUCAGGGGCACUCUGGGGAGCUGUACCUGGCGGGCACCCCCCAGCUGCUCUCCGUGGGGUACGACACCGAGACCUGGUUGGGCUGCAAGGAGACCGACUGGGAUUCCCGGGCUGGUGGCCGGGGAGACGAAGGCGGGGGGUGAGAGGCAGGAACCCAGGAGGCCCCAGGCCCAGCGCUGUGGGGCUGCUGUUGUCGUUCUGCGUGGAGGUCUGGCCAAACUGGCUUUUGCCCCGAGUGAGGAAUUCCUGCUCUUUUUUGGUUUUGGUAAGAGGUCGCUAUUCACAGAGGGGGCGGGGUUCGUCCCCUCCAGGCGAGUACGGGGCUGGCGGGCGCAGUGCUGCCUUUCUGCUCUGUCUCUUGAUCCCGCUUAGGAUCUUUGUGGCUCCUCUGAGUCUUCUUAGAGAGGCCGUGAAAGAUGGGAAAGGCAGGUUGCUGAAACGCUGCUGCUCGGGGCUGGCAGAGACCCUGGUAUAGGGAAGGCGCACCACUGUGGGUCAGAUCAGCUGACAGUGGGGGUUUUAGGUGAUGGGGUAACCUUACAGUUCGGAUCUCUUAGAACCCAGAAGCAGGUAGGCGAUCGCUGCUUCAUCACACUUCACAGGGAGUCCUGGAUCUUUCCUGUCCGUAACCCAUGGACGCCAUGAUUCAGUAUGGCGGAGGUCCGGGGCUUAAGUUCCUGUUCAUGCUUCCUAAUCAUUCAUGGAUCCAUCACAAUGUGCUCUGAAGGGCCUCUCUUGCUGGGAUUGAGAAGGAUACAUUUUUUGAGCAGGUUUUUAUACUCAAUGGACAUGUAGAAGGGAAUAUAUUCUACUCAGUUCCCCUCCUGCAGCUCCUUGAAAUUCUGUCCAUCAAAAGCAGGGAUCUGCUGACCAGAGGUGACUGCCACAGAAGGUAUCCAGUUUGUAAAAGCUGAAUUUGUUGCUGAAGCCAGAAUUUGCAAUCUUGAUGUUUGUGUUAACAUCCAAGAGCGUGUUUUCUGCCUUUAAAUCUCUGUGGACAAUACGUUUCUGGUGACAGCUUGCACAGCAGACACUUUUGGUAGAAUUUGCUUCAGUCCUUUUUUUUUCUUUCCUGCUGCCAUGAGCAGGUAUUCACAAACUUCUCCUCCUGGCUAGUGUGCUUCAUGACAAAGCAAAGAGAUUCCUCAAUAUCGAUCACAGCAAAUGUUUCACUAUGUUGGGGUGAUCCGAGCCUUCAUGGUUCCUACUUUGUGGAUGGUGUCUGGAGGAGAUCUGCUGAGUCUCAUCAAUGAACUUCACAGCUGCUGCUUUCCCAGUUAAGAGGUCCCAGGCCAACCUUACCUUAGCCAGGUUGCCCUUGACGAUGGUCUCAAGGAUCCUAGCUGCCAGUAAGGGUCCCUUCUCAGCAGAGAUGGCUGAGAGGCCCUGUGGCAUGUGAGACUUACUGCUGGGCUUGGAGUCAAGGUGUCCCAGGUCAGCUUAAUUUCGGGAAAAACUGGUAAGACGCUUGGUUCAAAUCACUUGAAAAGAAAAUCACUUGCAUAGUUCACCUGAAGAAUGGAUCUCUAUAAUGGAAUUAAAGCACAAUGCUGGACAAAAAGUAAGAAAAAGCAACAAACUGAAAGGAAAAAUUGAGUAAAAAGAAUAAAGAACUAGAACUGGCAACCUCAGCCAAGCCAGGGAAUUACAUACAUCUUGGAAUUCCAAAGCAAUGCUUCCUUAUGAGGGCAUAGGAAGAAAUAAAUCUAAUAACAAGGCUGGGAUUAAUUCACGUGGUUUUCUCACAUUUUGGUCUCAAGAACUUUUUACUCUAAAACUAAUUAUUGAGGACCCCAAAGAGCUUUUUAUGUGGGUUAUAGUUAUCAGUAUUUACUUUAUUGGAAAUUAAAACCUGUAGGAUGUUUCAGUGGUCUUUUCUAGUUUGAAGGGUUUAAUAAUUUUUGGCUUUUAAAGAGCCCAUAAUCAAUUAAAAUAUUUUAUUUUCCUUUAAAUUGUAAAUGAUUGGUGUCAUAAUGAUGCUACAACUUAACUGGCAUUACAAUACUAUACAAAUACGUUCUAUUGUAUAAGUCACAAUAAGGUACAUUAUUAACUCUAUAACAUUUAGGGGAAGAUAGCUGUUAUCAUAUUAUUUAAAGUUUUGCCUAGUUUCUUUGUAGUAGACUUAUCUUUUCCAGGAGCCAGAGAACCCGCUAUAUCAGUUUCAGUAUCUUUAAAUGUAGAGAUUGCAGCUGUGUGUUGAGAAAGCACGUUUCACUUAGCAUGGGAUGGGGACUUCGAGGUACUGGAUAUGUCACUGGCACCUCAGGGGAGGAAACCAAGAUGCCCCUAUAUGAUUUUAAACAUGGUUUAUUAAAGCGUGAUACAGAAAAGUGCACAAAUUGUCCACCUACAGCUUGGUGACUGUUCACAAAUUGAACUCAUCUAACUAGCCUCCAGAAUAAGAAACAGGCCUUUACACACCCCCACCAGCCUCCCAAUCCCCUUUUCAGUCACCUUCUCUGCAGUGAUAACCACUAUUCUAUAUUCUGACAGCAUAGUUUCACUUGUUUUUUAACUUCACAUAAAUGGGAUCAGACAGUAUUGAAUCCUUUGUGUCUGCUUCCUUCACUCAAUAUUUUCCUGAGAUUUUUCUAUAUUGUUUAUUCUAAAUGCCCAUUGUACGACUGUAACACAAUUUGUUUAUCCAUUUUACUGUUCUUGGGCAUUUGGGUAGUUCUCACUGUGGAUGCUAAGAAGAGUGUUGCUAUAAACAUUCAGGUCUUUUGGUAAGCAUAUACCUGGCUUUCUGUUGGCUAUUUAUACCUAGAAAUAGAGUUGCUGGCUUAUAAGGUAUGCAUAUUUUUAGUUUUAGUAGACAUUGCAGUUUGUACCAAUUCACCCACCCACCAAUGUGAAUAUCUAAUAUUGCCUGCCUGUCUGUACGUGUGUACUGGUAUAGCAUUGUGGUUUUAAUUUGCAUUUUCCAGUGCCUAAUGAAAUAAAGCACCUUUUAAUAUGCUUAUUGGACAUA